GGGGUUGUAGCUCAGUGGUAGAGCACUUGCCUAGCAUGUGCAAGGCCCUGGGUUCGAUCCUCAGCACCA
rnacentral:tRNA from 1 species